rnacentral:lncRNA from 1 species
CCGGCGCGCGCGGGCCGGUGGCGGCUGUGGCGGGCCCGCGCGGCGCCUCGGGCCUCGGCGCUGGGGCGGCGGCCGGGCCGGGCCGGGCCGGGCCGGGCCGGGGGAGCGGGCGGUACCCGGGACAGCGGCCCGCGGGCGAGGGGGCUGCCCCUGCCCUCUCCUGGAAGCCCGAAAAGCGCAGCGGUGUCGGCAGCGCGGAAGGAAGCACGAGCGCAGAGGAUGAGAAGUCAAACGACAAGACAGGCCCACAAAGAACUUUGCUUAAGGCAGACAAGCAAUUGCCAAAACCAACCUCUGGGAGCUCUCUGAGAAGGAAUGAUCAAACGUUGCUGUGUGAUUGCAUCCACUACUGCCAGAAUCUGCAGGUUUCCUAUAUAUUUUGGUCUGCAUUUAUGAUUGGAGGAGUGUUUCAUGCUCUCAGUGUGGGAUAGAAAAGACCAGGUGACACACGUGCUCUAUCUUCAACCCUUGAAAUACAGAUAGGCAAAUAAAUACAGGUAUGUGGGUACA